rnacentral:tRNA from 1 species
ACCUUCGUGGUGUAGUGGUCAGCACGCUCGGCGCGUAUUCGAGAGGUCCGUGGUUCGAAUCCCUGUGAGGGCA